rnacentral:rRNA from 1 species
CGCCUUGCCAGCCCCGCUCAGAAACUCAAAUGAAUUGACGGGGGCCCGCACAAGCAGCGGAGCAUGUGGUUUAAUUCGAAGCAACGCGAAGAACCUUACCAAGACUUGACAUCCCCUGACAGCUGUUGAAAGGCAGUGUCUCUUCGGAGCAGGGAGACAGGUGGUGCAUGGUUGUCGUCAGCUCGUGUCGUGAGAUGUUGGGUUAAGUCCCGCAACGAGCGCAACCCUUAUCCUUAGUUACCAGCACGUAAAGGUGGGGACUCUAGGGAGACCGCCGGGGACGACUCGGAGGAAGGUGGGGACGACGUCAAAUCAUCAUGCCCCUUAUGUCUUGGGCUACACACGUGCUACAAUGGCCGCAACAGAGGGAAGCGAGAGCGCAAGCUGGAGCAAAACCCUAAAAAGCGGUCCCAGUUCGGAUUGUGGGCUGCAACCCGACUCCAUGAAGUUGGAAUCGCUAGUAAUCGUGGAUCAGCAUGCCACGGUGAAUACGUUCCCGGGCCUU